rnacentral:rRNA from 1 species
UACGUAGGGGGCUAGCGUUGUCCGGAUUUAUUGGGCGUAAAGAGCGUGUAGGCGGCCAGGUAGGUCCGUUGUGAAAACUCGAGGCUCAACCUCGAGACGUCGGCGGAAACCCUCUGGCUAGAGUCCGGAAGAGGAGAGUGGAAUUCCUGGUGUAGCGGUGAAAUGCGUAGAGAUCCGGAGGAACACCGAAGGCGAAGGCAGUGUCCUGGCGCGUAACUGACGCUGAGGUGCGAAAGCCAGGGGAGCGAACGGG